GUAGGUGGCAAGCGUUGUCCGGAAUUAUUGGGCGUAAAGCGCGCGCAGGCGGUUCUUUAAGUCUGAUGUGAAAGCCCACGGCUCAACCGUGGAGGGUCAUUGGAAACUGGAGAACUUGAGUACAGAAGAGGAAAGCGGGAUUCCACGUGUAGCGGUGAAAUGCGUAGAGAUGUGGAGGAACACCAGUGGCGAAGGCGGCUUUCUGGUCUGUAACUGACGCUGAGGCGCGAAAGCGUGGGGAGCAAACAGGGAUUAGAUACCCUGGUAGUCCACGCCGUAAACGAUGAGUGCUAAGUGUUAGGGGGGUUUCCGCCCCCCUUAGUGCUGCAGCUAACGCAUUAAGCACUCCGCCUGGGGAUACGGCCGCAAGGCUG
rnacentral:rRNA from 1 species